CCAUGGCUCACGGGCCUAGCCGCUCCGGGGCAUGUGGGAUCUUCCCGGACCGGGGCACGAACCCACGUCUCCUGCAUCAGCGGGCGGACUCCCAACCACUGCGCCACCAGGGAAGCCCUCAGCCGGACUCAGGACCACAACAGAGCCCGAGAUUGCAGAUAUGAAGAAAUUCAGUCUCCUGAAUUUGAGGGGAAAACAGGAUUUAAGAGAUCUUCUUUGAAGAUUACAGCAAGUUAUAUCGACCAUGCUUCCUGGUUAUCUCUCUGAACAAUUAUGUAUCUGUGUCCAUCACUAGUAUGUGUGAAAUGAAUCUCAUUUUAUUCUUAGCCCACUAAGGUAUGACUUCCGCAAUGAAUUAAACUACUUGGUAUAGCUAACAUGGCCUUCUUUAAACUUGUUUCCUACAUUCCCACUCAUUUUUAUUUACAAUUGUUAACUCACAUGAAUCCUAGCCAACUC